GAUGAACGCUGGCGGCGUGCCUAAUACAUGCAAGUCGAGCGAAUGGAUUAAGAGCUUGCUCUUAUGAAGUUAGCGGCGGACGGGUGAGUAACACGUGGGUAACCUGCCCAUAAGACUGGGAUAACUCCGGGAAACCGGGGCUAAUACCGGAUAACAUUUUGAACCGCAUGGUUCGAAAUUGAAAGGCGGCUUCGGCUGUCACUUAUGGAUGGACCCGCGUCGCAUUAGCUAGUUGGGGAGGUAACGGCUCACCAAGGCAACGAUGCGUAGCCGACCUGAGAGGGUGAGCGGCCACACUGGGACUGAGACACGGCCAAGACUCCUACGGGAGGCAGCAGUAGGGAAUCUUCCGCAAUGGACGAGAGUCUGACGGAGCAACGCCGCGUGAGUGAUGAAGGCUUUCGGGUCGUAAAACUCUGUUGUUAGGGAAGAACAAGUGCUAGUUGAAUAAGCUGGCACCUUGACGGUACCUAACCAGAAAGCCACGGCUAACUACGUGCCAGCAGCCGCCGUAA
rnacentral:rRNA from 1 species